GUUGGGUUGACGCUUGAAAUAGAAAAUAGAAAUAGAUUUCGAUGAGAGCAUACGUAUAAAUAGUGACGUUUAAAUUACAAAAUAAAUUUAUCACGUAAUUAAAUGAUCUAAAUAUUAAUUAACACAAAUAAAGUUAUAUACAAAGUUAUAAGUGCAUUUCAGCGAAAUAUUUUUGUAUUUGCUCUAAUCAAUCGAAAAUGAGCGCUACACCUUUGGAUUGGCAAAUCAACAAGAAAAAAGUUAAACAAAGGGGACAACAUCUCCUGGAAACUGGAUUAUGGAGUGAUUGUAGUUUUGUUGUGGGUGUCGAACCGAAUAGUCAAGUAUUCAAUGGGCACAAAUUAUUCUUGGCUAUGUCUAGUCCCGUAUUUGAAGCAAUGUUUUUCGGACGAAUGGCAGAAAAGAAUGACACACCAAUACCAAUUUUAGAUGUUCAACCGGAAGCUUUUAAAGCUUUAUUAGAGUAUAUUUAUACCGAUAAAAUCAAUUUGAAUUCUUUUGAUCAAGCUUGUGAGUUAUGCUAUGGAGCGAAAAAGUAUAUGUUACCACAUUUAGUUGAGGAAUGUACUAAUUAUUUAUGGUCGGAUUUGUAUCCAAGAAAUGCUUGUCGAGCCUACGAAUUUGCUAAGCUGUUUGAGGAACCAGUUUUAAUGGAGAAAUGUUUACAGAUCAUUUGUAUGCAAACACAAGAAGUUUUGAACGAUAACAGUUUCGAGGAUGUUGAAUUGUGUACAUUAUUAACGAUUUAUUCGCAAGAACAUUUAGCAAUUGAUUCCGAAUUAGAUUUAUUCAAUGCGUUGGUGAAAUAUGCAGCGAAACAUGGUAACAACUCAGGUGUGAGUGCAAAAAGACCUAGAUUAGAAAGUAACGGAACUAAUGAAGAAUCGCCAGCAAAUAGUGAAUCAAACACACCAGCAAAUGAGGUCCCAACAAUCCGCGAUGUAUUAAAGAAAAUCCGAUUUUUAACAUUAACACCACAACAAUUUGCCGAUGGACCUGCACUCUCGGAUUUACUAACACAAAGUGAAAAAUUCGAUAUAUUUAUGAAUAUUUCAUCACAGUUACAUAGUACACCAAUGCCACCGGGGUUUUCUACAUCGACGAAAGAUCGUAAGAAAAAUUGUGGUCGAUACUUGAAUACACCGCUUCAUCAACCUGAAGCGGAUCCACCGCAUUAUCUGAAUCCAUCGUGUAGUACUGGUGUACGUUUGAGUGAUCGAUUUGCUUCGUUAGAUAAUCGAGGUCGUGGAUUACCUAGUAGCAGUAUAUUAAUUGUUGAUGAUAUUACGAAUACUGGAUCAUUUAAUCGGGAAGAAGAUCAUGCACGAAAUAUGCCGAAGUAUUAUUGUACAAGAACGUUGGUACAGAAAACUGAUUGUUUAAAUAGUUCAGUUAUUGAUUGUUCCGUUACGUUUUCCGUGGAUAAAAAUAUUUGUAUUUUGGGUAUACAGGUUCCAGCACAAAUUCUAUGCGAUAUUGGUGAUCAAUCAUCAUCUGGUACAAUGAAUCAUGGAAUGUAUUCCGAAUUACUAUACGCACAUCUCGUGGAUGCGGACGGUUCACGUUUAACAUAUUUACAUUACACAGCUCGUGUUGAUUAUCGUUCAAUAAUCGAGUUAAUGUUUUAUCGACCUGUCUACAUACAACGUAACAAAGAUUAUAAAGUCGGUGUUGUUUUUAAUCGUAACGGAUGGUAUCCGAUUGGUACAUGUACACCACAAACGACGGUAGCAUCUGUAACAUUUUCAUUUAGUAAUGAUACCGUACGUGAUGGUUUAAUACGAUCGAUUAUAUUCUCGUAUUAAGUCUUUAAAAAAACGAAAAAACCGUUCAAUUUCGAUGUUUUCUUUCUCUUAAGGAUGUACGAGCACCGAGAAGGGGGGUUGCCCGAUUAUUUUAAUAAAUCAAUGACUUCAAAAGUAGAAAUAUUUAAUGCUGGUUUUAUUGGAUUUGUCGCUCGUACUACCUUUCGAAUCGUGGCAUUUAAUUUGUAUCAUUUUUGUAAAUAUUAUAUUAAUAUAGGAAGUCUAGGAUCAUGCGUAGUAUUUGACUGCUAUUUUAGAACUUCUGGGAAGGUGAGUGUAGAAUUUUUAUACGGAUUGUUUUUUUUUCUUUCGACUAAAUGGGCUGAAAAUUGGAAGCUAUUCUCCAUACGAAUUCUACAAUCUCCUUUCCAGUCGUUCUAAAAUUAAACUCAAAUGCUACACCCGAUCCUAGUACUAACACUUUUAAUCAAAAUUCACAUAAAGGAAGAGGGAAUCUGGGAUAUCGGAACUAUGCAAUAAUGUUUCAAAAUCAUGAUGAUUAAAUUAUUUACAUCUAUUUGUUAAAUAAUUUGUUUCCGCUCUGUUUACGAGCGCAUGUCUGUUACAAAAAGCUUCAAUUCUUAAUAAUUUUUGCUCAAAAAUAGUAGGCAGCUUUCAUAGUUCUGAAUAAUACUCCAAUAAUCGAGGAGAAAAAAAGAGGAAAUCUCUAAAUUUUGACCUAAAGCACCGAUUUCGAUGAAAAUUUGGGAUUAAGUUUUGUUCAACCUCUAGAUCAAAAUUUAUAUGGUACCUAGUGAUGCUUUUAUUCAGGGGCUGGUAACCAACCCGUCUAGGGGAUAGAAUAACACAUGUUGAAAAUGACAAUGGAAAUCUAUAGAGCCAUGAAAUCUAAGCAAAAAGUGUCAUUUAAGUAUAUUUCGAAAAGUCAAUACUUUCCUAGUUAUUUUCAAUAUAUAUAUAUACCACUCCCUAGAAGGAGUGGUCAUAGAGUGGUUAUAUACCACUCCCUAGAAGGAGUGGUUAUCAUCCCCUGGGCAAAAGCACCACAAGGCAUUAUUUAACUUUUGAUCUAGAGGGUGGACAAAGCUUAAUCCCAAAUUUUCAUCGAAAUCGCUACUUUAAGAAAGAAUUUAAAGGUUUAAGCCUCGUUUUCUGGAGUAUAAAAUUGUCUGUGAGUUUUGAUGAUUGUAAAUAUUUAUUUCUUUUUUUGUGCAUAACCAAAAAGUUUUGGAAAUUCAAAUAAACGAACCGCAGAAUUUUUAUAGGGAAUGGCUUCGAGGUACGAAUUUCGAUGAUUUUACAGAUAUAGCAUAAUUACCGGAAAUUUUAUUGCAAGCUAUUUCCCAAAAGGUUCGUCAACGGAUUUUCCUAUAACUUGUGUGUUCUAAUUAAACAAUGUUCUCGCUUUUUAAUAAUUAUAUAUAAAUGAUACUUUAAAAUUUAUUUAAACGAAGAAAAUACGACUUUAGAAACAGUAUUAAAAGUAGAUACUUGCAAACAAAGCUUUAUCGUUUCAUAAUAUUUCAAAACUCGA